UUGUCACACUCCGUACGGGAGGCAGCAGUGGGGAAUAUUGCACAAUGGGCGCAAGCCUGAUGCAGCCAUGCCGCGUGUGUGAAGAAGGCCUUCGGGUUGUAAAGCACUUUCAGUUGUGAGGAAGGUGGUGUCGUUAAUAGCGGCAUCAUUUGACGUUAGCAACAGAAGAAGCACCGGCUAACUCCGUGCCAGCAGCCGCGGUAAUACGGAGGGUGCGAGCGUUAAUCGGAAUUACUGGGCGUAAAGCGCAUGCAGGUGGUUUGUUAAGUCAGAUGUGAAAGCCCCGGGGCUCAACCUCGGAACUGCAUUUGAAACUGGCAGACUAGAGUACUGUAGAGGGGGUAGAAUUUCAGGUGUAGCGGUGAAAUGCGUAGAGAUCUGAAGAAAUACCGGUGGCGAAGGCGGCCCCCUGGACAGAUACUGACACUCAGAUGCGAAAGCGUGGGGAGCAAACAGGAUUAGAUACCCUGGUAG
rnacentral:rRNA from 1 species